rfam:Oryza meridionalis cultivar OR44 (W2112) chromosome 8, whole genome shotgun sequence.
GCGCCUCUCCCUCCGCCCACUCGGCCACCACGUGGCGGCCGAGUGAGGGCCUCGGGGCAGUGC